GUAAACCAUGAAUUCAGGGGAGGUGGGGUUGUGGUGGAAGGAGGGUGGUGAACGACUAGCAGAGCAGCUUAAUGGAAUCCAUUUUUCCAUUUAAAUUGUAAUUAUCAUUAAAACCGUGUUUGAUUACCACAGUUUGAAAAACUCACAGUAAAUACUGUCCAGCAUCAACAAAAGUUAGCAGUCUGAUGCAGGCUCAAAGUGGGUUUUGUUUUGUGUGAUAACAUGGUGGAAGGCAGUGACAGUGCUCGUGAGAUUUUUCAGCCUUCUAGGAGGACCACAUUUGAAGAAUCGAAGAAAGGGGGCAACACUUCAAAUCUCUUGAGUCAUCUUUGUGACCACCACCCACUACUGUAUAGCGAAUGCAAGUGUUCCAACAGGAGAAACACUAUAGACUCCUAUACAAGACUCCUCUACCAGACUCCUCUACCAGACUCCUCUACAAGACUCCUCUACCAGACUCCUAUACAAGACUCCUAUACAAGACUCCUCUACCAGACUCCUCUACCAGACUCCUCUACAAGACUCCUCUACCAGACUCCUAUACAAGACUCCUAUACAAGACUCCUCUACCAGACUCCUAUACAAGACUCCUAUACCAGACUCCUAUACAAGACUCCUCUACAAGACUCCUCUACAAGACUCCUAUACCAGACUCCUAUACAAGACUCCUCUACCAGACUCCUAUACAAGACUCCUCUACCAGACUCCUCUACAAGACUACUAGUGGGCGUGCAGCAGGCAAACCCAGUGAUGCUACUGGUCCCUCCUCAUCUACAGUUGUGACACAGACACUCAAGCAUUUAAAAGGCAGGCUGCUUAUGUACCCACAUCAAAACAUGCUCAAGACCUCACUGCAGCCCUUUCAUAUUACAUUGCAAAGGACAUCAUUCCAUUUCAAAUCGUUGAGAGGCCUGGCUUUCUGAGGCUGAUGAAGGUUGCCGUGACUCACAACAAAGUGCCAUUACGAACAAUGUUUUCCAAGACUGAAAUCCCAAACCUGUACAACCAGGAUAAAGCUGAUGUUGGAAAAAGUUUGGCUCAUGGCAGAUGGUUUGCUGCAACUACUGACCUCUGGACCAGUGAAUGCGGUGGUGGUCAACCCUAUAUCAGCUUAACUAUCCAUUACCUCACCCCAGACUCCCAGACUGGCAACUGGAAUCAAAGUGCCUGGAAACACAAUUCUUCCCAGAAGAUCACUCGGCUCACAACAUCAGAGAGUUUUUUGAGAAUAUGCUGGAAGAGUGGGGGAUCAACCAGAAAGACCUGUUCUGCAUAACCACAGACAACGCAACAAACAUGACCAAGGCUUUUGAAGAGUUCCCAUAUCUGUGGCUUUGGGUGCUUUGGCCAUCAUUUGAACCUGGCCAUCUCAAAGGCUCUGAAAAUUGGCCAUCUCAAAUGCUCUGAGAGUUGACACAGCAGUCAAGGCCUACGUCAUCUGGUCCAAGGCUUCUCACGGAGCUGAAAGAGAAGGAGAGAACCGAGAAAAGCAAGCUGCCCUACACACAAGAUGCUUGAGCGUUUCCUCAGCCAACAGCAGCCAGUCUGUGCGACAAUGGCUGGAGAAAGAGGAACAUGGCAUCUGAUGCCCAAGGAUGCCGACAUAAGUGUCAUGGAGCAACUGUGCCAGCUCCUUGAACCUCUGGUUCGGAUCAAUCCCUGACCAAGGAGAUGAAAAGGAUACGGAGCCAUCCCUGACCAAGGAGAUGAAAAGGAUACGGAGCCAUCCCUGAUCAAGGAGAGGAAAAGGAUA